rnacentral:rRNA from 1 species
UGGGGAAUAUUGCACAAUGGGCGCAAGCCUGAUGCGGCCAUGCCGCGUGUAUGAAGAAGGCCUUCGGGUUGUAAAGUACUUUCAGUCGGGAGGAAGGUGUCAAGGUUAAUAACCUUGGCAAUUGACGUUACCGACAGAAGAAGCACCGGCUAACUCCGUGCCAGCAGCCGCGGUAAUACGGAGGGUGCAAGCGUUGAUCGGAAUUACUGGGCGUAAAGCGCACGCAGGCGGUUGAUUGAGUCAGAUGUGAAAUCCCCGGGCUUAAACCGGGAAUUGCAUCUGAUACUGGUCAGCUAGAGUCUUGUAGAGGGGGGUAGAAUUCCAUGUGUAGCGGUGAAAUGCGUAGAGAUGUGGAGGAAUACCGGUGGCGAAGGCGGCCCCCUGGACAAAGACUGACGCUCAGGUGCGAAAGCGUGGGGAGCAAACAGG